GUGACUGCGUACCUUUUGUAUAAUGGGUCAGCGACUUAUAUUCUGUAGCAAGGUUAACCGAAUAGGGGAGCCGCAGGGAAACCGAGUCUUAAUUGGGCGUUAAGUUGCAGGGUAUAGACCCGAAACCCGGUGAUCUAGCCAUGGGCAGGUUGAAGGUUGGGUAACACUAACUGGAGGACCGAACCGACUAAUGUUGAAAAAUUAGCGGAUGACCUGUGGCUGGGGGUGAAAGGCCAAUCAAACCGGGAGAUAGCUGGUUCUCCCCGAAAGCUAUUUAGGUAGCGCCUCGUGAAUUCAUCUCCGGGGGUAGAGCACUGUUUCGGCUAGGGGGCCAUCCCGGCUUACCAACCCGAUGCAAACUGCGAAUACCGGAGAAUGUUAUCACGGGAGACACACGGCGGGUGCUAACGUCCGUCGUGAAGAGGGAAACAACCCAGACCGCCAGCUAAGGUCCCAAAGUCAUGGUUAAGUGGGAAACGAUGUGGGAAGGCCCAGACAGCCAGGAUGUUGGCUUAGAAGCAGCCAUCAUUUAAAGAAAGCGUAAUAGCUCACUGGUCGAGUCGGCCUGCGCGGAAGAUGUAACGGGGCUAAACCAUGCACCGAAGCUGCGGCAGCGACGCUGAUGCGUUGUUGGGUAGGGGAGCGUUCUGUAAGCCUGUGAAGGUGUGUCGUGAGGCAUGCUGGAGGUAUCAGAAGUGCGAAUGCUGACAUAAGUAACGAUAAAGCGGGUGAAAAGCCCGCUCGCCGGAAGACCAAGGGUUCCUGUCCAACGUUAAUCGGGGCAGGGUGAGUCGACCCCUAAGGCGAGGCCGAAAGGCGUAGUCGAUGGGAAACGGGUUAAUAUUCCCGUACUUGGUGUUACUGCGAAGGGGGGACGGAGAAGGCUAUGUUGGCCGGGCGACGGUUGUCCCGGUUUAAGCGUGUAGGUGUGUGUUCCAGGUAAAUCCGGUUCACUUUAACACUGAGGCGUGAUGACGAGGCACUACGGUGCUGAAGCAACAAAUGCCCUGCUUCCAGGAAAAGCCUCUAAGCAUCAGGUAACAUCAAAUCGUACCCCAAACCGACACAGGUGGUCAGGUAGAGAAUACCAAGGCGCUUGAGAGAACUCGGGUGAAGGAACUAGGCAAAAUGGUGCCGUAACUUCGGGAGAAGGCACGCUGACACGUAGGUGAAGUGAUUUACUCACGGAGCUGAAGUCAGUCGAAGAUACCAGCUGGCUGCAACUGUUUAUUAAAAACACAGCACUGUGCAAACACGAAAGUGGACGUAUACGGUGUGACGCCUGCCCGGUGCCGGAAGGUUAAUUGAUGGGGUCAGCGCAAGCGAAGCUCCUGAUCGAAGCCCCGGUAAACGGCGGCCGUAACUAUAACGGUCCUAAGGUAGCGAAAUUCCUUGUCGGGUAAGUUCCGACCUGCACGAAUGGCGUAAUGAUGGCCAGGCUGUCUCCACCCGAGACUCAGUGAAAUUGAACUCGCUGUGAAGAUGCAGUGUACCCGCGGCAAGACGGAAAGACCCCGUGAACCUUUACUAUAGCUUGACACUGAACAUUGAGCCUUGAUGUGUAGGAUAGGUGGGAGGCUUUGAAGUGUGGACGCCAGUCUGCAUGGAGCCGACCUUGAAAUACCACCCUUUAAUGUUUGAUGUUCUAACGUGGACCCGUAAUCCGGGUUGCGGACAGUGUCUGGUGGGUAGUUUGACUGGGGCGGUCUCCUCCUAAAGAGUAACGGAGGAGCACGAAGGUUGGCUAAUCCUGGUCGGACAUCAGGAGGUUAGUGCAAUGGCAUAAGCCAGCUUGACUGCGAGCGUGACGGCGCGAGCAGGUGCGAAAGCAGGUCAUAGUGAUCCGGUGGUUCUGAAUGGAAGGGCCAUCGCUCAACGGAUAAAAGGUACUCCGGGGAUAACAGGCUGAUACCGCCCAAGAGUUCAUAUCGACGGCGGUGUUUGGCACCUCGAUGUCGGCUCAUCACAUCCUGGGGCUGAAGUAGGUCCCAAGGGUAUGGCUGUUCGCCAUUUAAAGUGGUACGCGAGCUGGGUUUAGAACGUCGUGAGACAGUUCGGUCCCUAUCUGCCGUGGGCGCUGGAGAACUGAGGGGGGCUGCUCCUAGUACGAGAGGACCGGAGUGGACGCAUCACUGGUGUUCGGGUUGUCAUGCCAAUGGCACUGCCCGGUAGCUAAAUGCGGAAGAGAUAAGUGCUGAAAGCAUCUAAGCACGAAACUUGCCCCGAGAUGAGUUCUCCCUGAGACUUUAAGUCUCCUGAAGGAACGUUGAAGACGACGACGUUGAUAGGCCGGGUGUGUAAGCGCAGCGAUGCGUUGAGCUAACCGGUACUAAUGAACCGUGAGGCUUAACCUUACAACGCCGAAG
rnacentral:rRNA from 4 species